UUCCUCAGGCACUCUAUGGAGUUCACUGAGGGUCUAAUGACUUCUGGCCCUUCAGUGAUUCAGCCUACCUGUUAGGUCAGGAACUGCACACGAAUUUGCCUGAAAUUUGCAGUUGGAAGUUUUCAGCCUAUCUGAGAAGGUCACAGGAAGAGAAGACAGCAACCAGCCACCACUUCAGGAAUCUCCCUUUUGUCACAUCAUGCCCCUGUCUUUUGAACAUUACACUAUUUCACCAGUGAUGUUGCUCCCACACAACUAUUUUUCAUAGAAAGCAUACUCAUCAUCAUAA